rnacentral:lncRNA from 10 species
ACCCGCCUCAGCCUCCCAAAGUGCUGGGAUUACAGGCGUGAGCCACCGCGCCCGACCAGAUAUAGAUACAUUUUAAAUGACAACAAUAACUUGUAGUUCAUAGCUAUAUAUUUCUUCAACCGGUUUUUUGCACAGUCUCAGUUCAAUGUGAAUUAACAUAAAAUGAUUUAUUUUUUCCAAGGGUAGCUAUAGUCAAUACUGUCAUUUGUGUUGCCCCAAAUCUAUUAAACGCUUUUCCACAUUCUAAUAUUUCCCAUAAUUUAAAUCCAAAUUUUCCAAUGUAGAAUCAAAAACAACAACCAUAUAUUGCCAUUUCCCAUGCCCCAAUGAUGGGGACGUAUAAUUCAGGUUGCAAAAAUAAACUAUAUCUACAAAAAAAUUUUGAUUUAAAACUAACUUUAUUUUAAGAAGGUAGGACAUGGAGCAUUCAUUUGGC